rnacentral:sRNA from 1 species
UAUUUAUCCCUCAAUAAAAUAAAAUGAUUCAUUAAUUAAUAACUGUUAAAUAAAAACAAUAUAUUUUUAAAAGUGUUAUCUUGAAAUAGUGUGAAGCAGAAAAAACUAGAAUGCGAAAAAAUGAAAUAAGUACGUUCCAAACCAUGCCCAAACAAUAAAAGGUGCUCUAAUUUGUAAAAGAACCACAAAUCAUAUGGUGCAAUCCGCCAUCUUGCCAUCAAGCUGAUAGACAUUUUGCGACGUUUUGCAUACGUGUGCGUACAUGAGAAUGCAAACAAAAAUCUGGCGGCUGUUAACAGCUUUUCGCGUGAGACCACAUUUAUAAAUCCGCCUUGGUUCCAAACGAAACAAAUUUGAGGACAUGGAAGAAGACUAUAUUGGCUUGGAAAUCGAUGCUGAUGACGGAAGAUAACAAAUGCAGUAUGCCUUCAUGUGGAUCUAGAUUUCGUGUUGGUUCAUGUCUGGAAUUGUGUCUCCACCUAAGAGCCGG